UUUGCUGUGAUUAUUUGCUUGGUUUAAUUUGGUUUGUCUACUUAGAAUUUUUAGAAUGGCAAUGAGAUGAGGUCUAAACUGAAUGUAGGCAUUAGACAAGAAACCUUGUAGUAUAUUUCAACAACCCGUAUUGGAUGUCAUUGUUUAUUUUAAACUUGAACUUAAUUACUGUGAGAUCCCAGGCUCUAUAAAGACAAUGAGUGCCAUCUAUAAAUGCUAAUAUAAAUCAAUAAAGAGGGGGAGGUUAAGUGAUUUAUAUUGGAGCUGAGCCACCAUGUUAAUAACUGGUGCUCAUUAUAGCCUCAGCAAUGAAUGGGAAAUCAAAACAUUAAAUAGUGCAAACAAGAAGACUAUCCUAUUUUGCAGGAAGUUUGAGAUACUCCAUUCGUCCAGGUCACCCAUUUUUGUCCUUUUAAAAGGUAGGUUAAAUCUUGUAUUUAAUAGACAUCUUGCCUAAGAAAAGGCUGCUGGAGUUUUCCCAAUGUUUCCAUGACUUUGAGUUGUUGCCAACUUUGCCUGACAAAUAACAAGCAUAGCUGCCAAAACUGAACUAUAAUAUUGCUGUAAAAAGAGUAUCAUAGGUACAAGUUUUAGGUAUGCACUGCUUUUCAUACCUAUAAUACAGUUGACCAUAUUAUGAAUAUUUCAUUUUCAUUACCAUAUAUUAGUAAAAUAGGACUUCAGAAUUGUUUUGUAUAUCUCUCUUCAAGAAUAUAAACAAAUAAUUGUACUUUUGAACGUGGAUUGGCACAUUAUGGAAGCAUCAAAAAAGUCUCUGUAAGUAAGGCUGCAUUGGCACUUACACUGAAGGCAGGACUAACAUUUCUCUAUUCAAGGUUUAAUUUAUUCUCCAAAUUCAUCAGAACACAUUUUCAGAUGACAAUUGCACUUUUCAUAUAAUUUUCUUAAUAACUUUGUUUUAAUUAGAAGAGAAAAGAUUUUAAGUGCACUUUUCUGAACACAUUUUACUCAAAACAAAAAAAAAAAAAGGUAAGGAAAAACCCUGUCUCCCUUAAUUUCACACACAGAAAGUCUUAGAGAUACCUGUUCUUUGCUAACAUUUUGGAGGAGGCCAGUUUUGAAGGUUUUUCUGUAUAAGUGAGAGAAAUUUCAUUAAGACUAACCAACUGACCUGGUGGAACUUAACUGAAAAUAUUGUCCUAAUAUCCCUAUGGCAGGUCGUGUCUGAGGACUGCUUCAAUCCAUUCUCUAGGUGAAGCAAAUCAAUUUUUUAAACUUUAAUUUGGGUCAUUUCCUAGGCUGUGAGUUUUUUAGCCUUUUUUUUUUUUUUUUCCUCCCACAAUUUGGAGUUCUUCCUUUUGCUCUCGUGGGACUCUUCCUCCAUGACCAGCGUUUUGACCUAUUUUGAUAUCUUUUUGGGGGAAGGAUCUUUAUUAAGAUGGGAGUGAAAAUAACUUCUGACUCAGCUGAAGUAAGCUUUUCGAGGAAGCGAACCUCAAUGCCAUGUGUUCAGACCUGCUUCUUUUUAGAUAUUAGCUGAUGAUAUCCAAAGGGUCUUGCUCUCUUGCUAUAGAUUGUGUAUUACUUUCAAAGAAACUCCCGGAAGUGCUAACAUUGUGUGGUGCAAGAACAAUGUUGGAAUAAAAGGGGGAAGAAGUUCGAUAUCCUGGCAGUUCUGCAGUCCACCAAGUCUGUUAUUUCUGUUCUGUCUUUAUAAUGGCUAUAAAAUAUUAUCUGGGAGUAUGA